GACGAACGCUGGCGGCGUGCUUAACACAUGCAAGUCGAACGGAAAGGCCUGCUUUCCCUUGUGGAUUGCGGGUACUCGAGUGGCGAACGGGUGAGUAACACGUGAGUGAUCUGCCCCCAACUUGGGUAGAAGCCUGGGAAACUGGGGCUAAUUCCCGAUAGGACUGCAGGGUGGUGCCUGUGGUGGAAGACGAUUUUCUAGCGGGGGGGGAUGAGCUCGCGGCCUAUCAGCUUGUUGGUGGGGUAAUGGCCUACCAAGGCGGCGACGGGUAGCCGGCCUGAGAGGGUGGACGGCCACAUUGGGACUGAGCUACGGCCCAGACUCCUACGGGAGGCAGCAGUGGGGAAUAUUGCACAAUGGGCGGAAGCCUGAUGCAGCGACGCCGCGUGGGGGAUGCCGGCCUUCGGGUUGUAAACUCCUUUCGACCGCGAGGAAGCCACCUGGUUGGAAGGGUGGUGACGGUAGUGGUAGAAGAAGCACCGGCUAACUACGUG
rnacentral:rRNA from 1 species